GUAGGGAAUCUUCCACAAUGGACGAAAGUCUGAUGGAGCAACGCCGCGUGAGUGAAGAAGGUCUUCGGAUCGUAAAACUCUGUUGUUAGAGAAGAACGUGCAUGAUAGUAACUGAUCAUGUAAUGACGGUAUCUAACCAGAAAGCCACGGCUAACUACGUGCCAGCAGCCGCGGUAAUACGUAGGUGGCAAGCGUUGUCCGGAUUUAUUGGGCGUAAAGGGAACGCAGGCGGUUUUUUAAGUCUGAUGUGAAAGCCUUCGGCUUAACCGAAGAAUAGCAUUGGAAACUGGAAGAGUUGAGUGCAGAAGAGGAGAGUGGAAUUCCAUGUGUAGCGGUGAAAUGCGUAGAUAUAUGGAGGAACACCAGUGGCGAAAGCGGCUCUCUGGUAUGUAACUGACGCUGAGGUUCGAAAGCGUGGGUAGCAAACAGGAUUAGAAACCCCGGUAGUCC
rnacentral:rRNA from 1 species